UUUCCGUAGGUGAACCUGCGGAAGGAUCAUUAUUGUAUAACCGAGGUGCGAGGGCUGUCGCUGACCCGAAAGGUCGUGCACGCCUGAGUGCCCUCACACACAUCCAUCUCACCCCUAUGUGCACCACCGCGUGGGUCCCCCUUUGGCUUGUUCGGAGGGGGGCUUACGUUUUCACACAAGCUUUGCAUGCAGUGUAGAAUGUAUUUUUUGUUUUUGCGAUCACGCAAUCAAUACAACUUUCAACAACGGAUCUCUUGGCUCUC
rnacentral:misc_RNA from 1 species